rnacentral:misc_RNA from 1 species
UUGUUUAAUUUAACUUGUUCUCAGACUUCAAUUUUCCAGGCAGGGUUGGCUAAUUCCGGCAGGCGGGGCCCCCCGCGAACGGGGGGUGGUCCCCGCCAGGCGCCGAAUCCGGGCCGCGGUUACAAAGGGUGGAGUUGUGCCCGGAGGCUAACCCAUUAAUGAUCCUUCCGCAGGUUCACCUACGGAAA